rnacentral:rRNA from 1 species
CACGUAGGGCGCGAGCGUUGUCCGGAAUUAUUGGGCGUAAAGAGCUCGUAGGCGGCCUGUUGCGUCCGCUGUGAAAGCCCGGGGCUUAACCCCGGGUCGGCAGUGGAUACGGGCAGGCUAGAGGUAGGUAGGGGAGAAUGGAAUUCCCGGUGUAGCGGUGAAAUGCGCAGAUAUCGGGAGGAACACCGGUGGCGGAGGCGGUUCUCUGGGCCUUACCUGACGCUGAGGAGCGAAAGCGUGGGGAGCAAACAGG